UUUCCGUAGGUGAACCUGCGGAAGGAUCAUUAUUGAAAUAAACCUGAUGGGUUGUUGCUGGUUCUCUAGGGAGCAUGUGCACGCCUUGUCAUCUGUAUAUCUCCACCUGUGCACUUUUUGUAGGCCUUUCAGGCCUAUGUUUCUUCAUUUACCCCAAUGUAUGUUAAUAGAAUGUUGUGCCUAUAUAAUAUAUACAACUUUCAGCAACGGAUCUCUUGGCUCUC
rnacentral:misc_RNA from 1 species